rnacentral:rRNA from 1 species
AACGUAGGAGACGAACGUUAUCCGGAGUUACUGGGCGUAAAGGGCGUGCAGGCGGUCUGAUAAGUUCGGCGUGAAAUAUUCCGGCUUAACCGGGAUAGGUCGUCGGAGACUGUCGGACUAGAGGGUGAUAGAGGCGUGUGGAAUUCCGGGUGUAGUGGUGAAAUGCGUAGAGAUCCGGAGGAACACCAGUGGCGAAGGCAGCCCCCUGGGUCAAGAUUGACGCUCAUGCACGAAAGCGUGGGGAGCAAACAGG